GGCUACAAUAAGGUGUGACUGGGAGGCCGAAGUCUGUAACCAAUUCGGCUUUUGCAAGUCACAUUGUUCGUUAAAUAACAACUACGAUAGUAAAUAUGAAUUUCUUGCUAAUGGUUCAUUUUAAACUACAUAUUUUCAUUAGCUGAAGCAUCUGACUCACUUCAGCAAAAGCUCAGUAGCGCAUACAAAACCAAAGGUUCACAUUUUCAGCAGAAAGCUUAGUAGCUCACAAAUAAAGCCAAAAACAAAGACACAACAUGAAAUUGUAAACUGAAUUGUUGAUGAUGAUCUCAUUGGCUAGAUAUAGGAACAGAAUCUUCACCAUUUGCUGAAUCAGCUACAGGAGAUCUCUUUGUUAGAGACUUUAUGUCCAUGUCAUCUUGUGUACAACGUUGCUGAGGGUGUGAUAACAUAAUAGACAAGUGACGCAGGAGGACUCGUAGGCCCUGCCCGGUCUCAUAGAUGUAACCCUCAUACUCACUAACAUGUUCAAGGGUGUCAACUAGUGCAUCAUAGACCGCCUGUGGGCAGUUGUCAGGUCCAGGCUUAUCAUGGAGGUACAUCACAUCCAAAGUGAAGAGUUUCUGGUUUAUGGGCCACUGGUGGUGCGGUCGAACAGAUGAUCUGCAGUAGACGAGAAUCACUCUUAAAAUCCGGUUUUGAGCACGUGAUUUCUUUGCUUCAUGAGCUGCUAAGCGAAAUAAAUGUGUGAGGUCUGCUUGACCACAAGAUGAAGUAGCUGAGAGCCCCCUAAGAGCAGCUACUGUAGACUCAACUUCACUGCUAAACUCUUUUCGAAGCCAAGAGGCGGAUUUUGCUAGAGUGGCGAAAGCGAAGCGAUGAUCGGGGUUGAUAGAGAGCUUGGCGUUGAUGAAGAAAAGAAUAGCUUGCUUGAUGCACUCCAAUCUGGUGAGAGGUCUCCCAGAGGGGCCUGCGGUUUUCAUUUCCACAAGAGACUCUGCAUCCACAUCUAUGCAAAACAAUAUGUCCUCGCAGUUGAUCCUCAUCGGCUUCAGCGCAUAUCUUCCCCUGCCUGAGCCCUCUGUUCCAUCCACCGUCUCCAUCUCUCUCCCUCUCUCUGGCUUCGCGAAUUGCAUUGGAAGAAGAGGGCUGUGAUUUUUUU
rnacentral:misc_RNA from 1 species